GAGUUUGAUCCUGGCUCAGGAUGAACGCUGGCGGCGUGCUUAACACAUGCAAGUCGAACGGAGUCAUCAUUUUUGAAGCAAUUAGCUUGCUAAGAGUGGAAAUGUUGAUGACUUAGUGGCGGACGGGUGAGUAACGCGUGGGUAACCUGCCAUAUACAGGGGGAUAACACUUAGAAAUAGGUGCUAAUACCGCAUAAGCGCACAGUAUUGCAUGAGACAGUGUGGAAAACUACGGUGGUAUAUGAUGGACCCGCGUCUGAUUAGCUGGUUGGUGAGGUAACGGCCCACCAAGGCGACGAUCAGUAGCCGGCCUGAGAGGGUGGACGGCCACAUUGGGACUGAGACACGGCCCAAACUCCUACGGGAGGCAGCAGUGGGGAAUAUUGGACAAUGGGGGAAACCCUGAUCCAGCGACGCCGCGUGAGUGAAGAAGUAUUUCGGUAUGUAAAGCUCUAUCAGCAGGGAAGAAAAAAAUGACGGUACCUGACUAAGAAGCCCCGGCUAACUACGUGCCAGCAGCCGCGGUAAUACGUAGGGGGCAAGCGUUAUCCGGAUUUACUGGGUGUAAAGGGAGCGUAGACGGCAGGGCAAGUCUGAUGUGAAAGGUCGGGGCCCAACCCCGGGACUGCAUUGGAAACUGUCCGGCUGGAGUACAGGAGAGGUAAGUGGAAUUCCUAGUGUAGCGGUGAAAUGCGUAGAUAUUAGGAGGAACACCAGUGGCGAGGGCGGCUUACUGGAC
rnacentral:rRNA from 1 species